GAUGUAGAACAGGCGAGUCGUGAGAGAAGAAAUCUCGGCCAACAGGCGGGGUUUAUUUGCAAUUAAGGCACCGUGAUGACCGACCGCGACGACAUACUUGCGGCAUUGGCGUGGGGCGGGCUAGUGGUGGUAGCUCUCCUUCCCAUCGUCUCGGUUUUGAUCGACACUUUUGCCGCAGACCCAAUUGGUUUCCGAAUGCGGCUCGGAUGGGGUGUUGUUGUGGCGUCGAAUGCCAGCGUUGUCGUCAUCGGAGUUGCACUGCUCGCCCGCAGAAUUCGACGGCGGAAGGGUGGGGUAGAUUAGCCGUCUUCAGCAUUGGGCCGUCCCAUUCUCCUGAGAAGCAUAAUGCGCCGUUUAAUUGGUCGAAAAAUGGGCGCUGGAAUCAAUGGGCGCAGUUCCAACGGAAGGUUCGCCAACGGUCACGCCGGAGGGCCAGGCAGACCACGGCGGGAAACCGAGCGCCUCUAUCUUCAGGCAUUGACGGA
rnacentral:misc_RNA from 1 species